ACAAUUAGCUGUUGGGACACUAGAUGUCUUAGUAGCGAAGCUAACGCGUGAAAUUGUCCGCCUGGGGAGUACGGUCGCAAGAUUAAAACUCAAAGGAAUUGACGGGGACCCGCACAAGCGGUGGAUGAUGUGGAUUAAUUCGAUGCAACGCGAAGAACCUUACCUGGUCUUGACAUGUACGGAAUCUCUUAGAGAUAGGAGAGUGCCUUCGGGAACCGUAACACAGGUGCUGCAUGGCGGUCGUCAGCUCGUGUCGUGAGAUGUUGGGUUAAGUCCCGCAACGAGCGCAACCCUUGUCAUUAGUUGCCAUCAUUAAGUUGGGCACUCUAAUGAGACUGCCGGUGACAAACCGGAGGAAGGUGGGGAUGACGUCAAGUCCUCAUGGCCCUUAUGACCAGGGCUUCACACGUCAUACAAUGGUCGGUACAGAGGGUAGCGAAGCCGCGAGGUGAAGCCAAUCUCAGAAAGCCGAUCGUAGUCCGGAUUGCACUCUGCAACUCGAGUGCAUGAAGUCGGAAUCGCUAGUAAUCGCAGGUCAGCAUACUGCGGUGAAUACGUUCCCGGGUCU
rnacentral:rRNA from 1 species